rnacentral:rRNA from 1 species
AGUGAACGCUGGCGGUAGGCCUAACACAUGCAAGUCGAACGGCAGCACAGAGGAGCUUGCUCCUUGGGUGGCGAGUGGCGGACGGGUGAGGAAUACAUCGGAAUCUACUCUGUCGUGGGGGAUAACGUAGGGAAACUUACGCUAAUACCGCAUACGACCUACGGGUGAAAGCAGGGGAUCUUCGGACCUUGCGCGAUUGAAUGAGCCGAUGUCGGAUUAGCUGGUUGGCGGGGUAAAGGCCCACCAAGGCGACGAUCCGUAGCGUGGUCGGAGAGGAUGAUCAGCCACACUGGAACUGAGACACGGUCCAGACUCCUACGGGAGGCAGCAGUGGGGAAUAUUGGACAAUGGGCGCAAGCCUGAUCCAGCCAUACCGCGUGGGUGAAGAAGGCCUUCGGGUUGUAAAGCCCUUUUGUUGGGAAAGAAAUCCAGCUGGUUAAUACCCGGUUGGGAUGACGGUACCCAAAGAAUAAGCACCGGCUAACUUCGUGCCAGCAGCCGCCGUAA